GACGAACGCUGGCGGCGUGCUUAACACAUGCAAGUCGAACGGAAAGGCCCUGCUUUUGUGGGGUGCUCGAGUGGCGAACGGGUGAGUAACACGUGAGUAACCUGCCCUUGACUUUGGGAUAACUUCAGGAAACUGGGGCUAAUACCGGAUAGGAGCUCCUUCUGCAUGGUGGGGGUUGGAAAGUUUCGGCGGUUGGGGAUGGACUCGAGGCUUAUCAGCUUGUUGGUGGGGUAGUGGCUUACCAAGGCUUUGACGGGUAGCCGGCCUGAGAGGGUGACCGGCCACAUUGGGACUGAGAUACGGCCCAGACUCCUACGGGAGGAAGCAGUGGGGAAUAUUGCACAAUGGGCGGAAGCCUGAUGCAGCAACGCCGCGUGCGGGAUGACGGCCUUCGGGUUGUAAACCGCUUUCGCCUGUGACGAAGCGUGAGUGACGGUAAUGGGUAAAGAAGCACCGGCUAACUACGUG
rnacentral:rRNA from 1 species